CGUCUCGGCGCGCGCGGGGGGGCUCGGGAGCGAGCGAGCGUGCGUGCGCCUCGGGGACUGGGCGGGGCGGGCACGCGCCAGCAGGCAGGGCCGUGCCGGGAUGGGCUCGCGGCUGUUGCGAGGUUCACGCCCGCCCAGCGUGCGCGUGCACGUGCACGUGGAGACCUGGGCGAAGAGGCGGGGCUCUCGAACGAGAGCGCCAGACGGGGGCGGAGUUGCGGUUUUGACGUACCCCGAGGGGCGGGGAUGGAGAGCUGGCACCGGGGAGCUUGGAAGGACUGUCUAUUUCACUCUCCAAGGGCUGGACACAGAGCACACAUUUGAUGGUCCCAUCUCAAAGGCUGGGCAAGUUGGGCAUGAUCAAGCUGCAGCUUCCACAACCCAAAGAUGGAGUGCCAAAACCUGUCCCCCAACCCUGUGGAAGGGGGGCUUUGUGAGCUUCAGAGGUGACCGUGGCGUGGAGCUUGAAAAGAACAUGUUGGUUUAUGGAAUACAAAAUUUCGAGGAGUAA
rnacentral:lncRNA from 1 species